rnacentral:rRNA from 1 species
UACAGGCUUAACACAUGCAAGUCGAGGGGCAGCAUUUUAUUUUGCUUGCAAACUGAAGAUGGCGACCGGCGCACGGGUGAGUAACACGUAUCCAACCUGCCGAUAACUCCGGGAUAGCCUUUCGAAAGAAAGAUUAAUACCGGAUAGUAUACGAAUAUCGCAUGAUAUUUUUAUUAAAGAAUUUCGGUUAUCGAUGGGGAUGCGUUCCAUUAGUUUGUUGGCGGGGUAACGGCCCACCAAGACUACGAUGGAUAGGGGUUCUGAGAGGAAGGUCCCCCACAUUGGAACUGAGACACGGUCCAAACUCCUACGGGAGGCAGCAGUGAGGAAUAUUGGUCAAUGGGCGCGAGCCUGAACCAGCCAAGUAGCGUGAAGGAUGAAGGCUCUAUGGGUCGUAAACUUCUUUUAUAUGGGAAUAAAGUUUUCCACGUGUGGAAUUUUGUAUGUACCAUAUGAAUAAGGAUCGGCUAACUCCGUGCCAGCAGCCGCGGUAAUACGGAGGAUCCGAGCGUUAUCCGGAUUUAUUGGGUUUAAAGGGAGCGUAGGUGGAUUGUUAAGUCAGUUGUGAAAGUUUGCGGCUCAACCGUAAAAUUGCAGUUGAAACUGGCAGUCUUGAGUACAGUAGAGGUGGGCGGAAUUCGUGGUGUAGCGGUGAAAUGCUUAGAUAUCACGAAGAACUCCGAUUGCGAAGGCAGCUCACUAGACUGUCACUGACACUGAUGCUCGAAAGUGUGGGUAUCAAACAGGAUUAGAUACCCUGGUAGUCCACACAGUAAACGAUGAAUACUCGCUGUUUGCGAUAUACAGUAAGCGGCCAAGCGAAAGCAUUAAGUAUUCCACCUGGGGAGUACGCCGGCAACGGUGAAACUCAAAGGAAUUGACGGGGGCCCGCACAAGCGGAGGAACAUGUGGUUUAAUUCGAUGGUACGCGAGGAACCUUACCCGGGCUUAAAUUGCAACAGAAUAUAUUGGAAACAGUAUAGCCGUAAGGCUGUUGUGAAGGUGCUGCAUGGUUGUCGUCAGCUCGUGCCGUGAGGUGUCGGCUUAAGUGCCAUAACGAGCGCAACCCUUAUCUUUAGUUACUAACAGGUUAUGCUGAGGACUCUAGAGAGACUGCCGUCGUAAGAUGUGAGGAAGGUGGGGAUGACGUCAAAUCAGCACGGCCCUUACGUCCGGGGCUACACACGUGUUACAAUGGGGGGUACAGAAGGCGGCUACCUGGUGACAGGAUGCUAAUCCCAAAAACCUCUCUCAGUUCGGAUCGAAGUCUGCAACCCGACUUCGUGAAGCUGGAUUCGCUAGUAAUCGCGCAUCAGCCAUGGCGCGGUGAAUACGUUCCCGGGCCUUGUACACACCGCCCGUCAAGCCAUGAAAGCCGGGGGUACCUGAAGUACGUAACCGCAAGGAGCGUCCUAGGGUAAAACUGGUAAUUGG